AAAACAUUCGGCAUUCUGGCGACCAUACCCAUCCAGCCAUGUGAGAAUGGCCAUCAUUCGCGCCGUCAUGUCGAUUAUGUUUUCAUGCAGUGUGGUAAGGAGUCGCACCUGGCGUUCUUGCUCCUCUUCCCUGAGUUUAGCAUCGUCCAUGAUACUGGUUUGCCAACCUUUGCUACCAAUUUGUGACGUUCCGCUACGAAGAGCGUAACCACUAGGAUCGUUCUUCCCCAAAUAUGAGUUCCCCGUGGAGUCUUGAGGUUUUCAUUAGAUGAUGGUGUACUGCAAUUGACGGCUGUGAACUUAUCAAUGGAAGUGAAAUGCGGAAUUGUGAUGAUGAAAAGCGAGCUUCAGCUCGCCAAGAAUAGUUGAUUGAAGGAACAUAGAAAGAUGUUUAGGUUUUUGAACAUAAAAGCAAUACCUAAGUAAGACAGGGAAAUAAAUUGGGUUUAACUUCUUGCUUGAUUGAA
rnacentral:lncRNA from 1 species